rnacentral:rRNA from 1 species
UACGUAGGGGGCAAGCGUUGUCCGGAAUCAUUGGGCGUAAAGAGCGUGUAGGCGGCCCGGUAAGUCCGCUGUGAAAGUCCAGGGCUCAACCCUGGGAUGCCGGUGGAUACUGUCGGGCUCGAGUCCGGAAGAGGCGAGUGGAAUUCCUGGUGUAGCGGUGAAAUGCGCAGAUAUCAGGAGGAACACCAAUGGCGAAGGCAGCUCGCUGGGACGUGACUGACGCUGAGACGCGAAAGCGUGGGGAGCGAACAGG